UCAUAUGAUUUACAUAUCUUUUGGUUUGCAAUCUUUACAAUUGAUCAUUUUAUUUCAGUCAUUUCAACAAAAUGGCCAAUGCAUUGAAUUGAAAUUGAGGUCAAUAUUUGUUGAUUAACUUAUUUUAAACGUUGACCAAUCCUUUUUGGCAACAUUGUGAUAACCACUAGCAGCUAAUCAAUCGUCAUCUUGAUCAACCUAACUCUCCAACUCUAUCAUUACAAAGUAUAAAUCUCAAUGGUAACUAUCACAGUCCACAUCUAAUCGUUUAAUCAUCAUUUAAAGUUUCAGGAAAUCUGGGAACCUUACAGUUAACGCAUAAAUCAGGACGAUUAGAGGAUCAAAGUUGAAAAGGUUUUGAUUUCAAGAAUCAACAGCAAUAAUCAAUGGAAAUGGUCGUUGGGCAACCAAUUUACUGAAAUCACGAAUCAAUAUGUUUACCAAUUAAUUCUUGUUAAUCAAUUUAUCUGUAAAUGAUGGCCAUUCUGAGUGGAAUUUGGUUUGAUUUUUGUUUUGUUUUGGAUUUGACAAACGAUUUCAUCUCAACGAGGAGGCAAAAUUAAUUAAAAUUGGAUUGAAUCCAGUAUAAUUAUUGAUAACCAUUAUAAAUCAAGUUAAAUUACAAUCAAUGGAAUCAAAUCUUCUGUAUCCCAAAUGAUAACUCAGAUUGGUGUCUUUAUUAAUCCAUCGUCGUUUUGAUUGAGUUUUUAAAUUUUUCAUUUUUUUAAUUCAAUUUUUCCUUCAAUUCAGAAAGAUUUUACAAUUAAUUUAAUGAAGUUGCUGGUGUAACUGGAUUAACCUGCAAUUGUCAAACAUUAUUUCCAUUCAUUUUUCUUUCUCACAUUUCAAUUUAAUUAAACUUUGACACUUUGCA